CGCUUCGGCGACCGUCCUGGCCGAACUCGGUCGCGUCGAAUUCAUCUCUAGCCGUUGACUUCUCGCCUCCUUCUUCAAGGCCACCAACUUGUCUCGUCUAGCCUUCAGAUAAGCCUGCCUCUUCUUUAUGUCCUCCUCCGACACCUGAAACGUUCGGAUCUCUAUAAUGAACUAUUACUUGAAAGUUGGCGACGACAGGGAUUCCGUUUCCGGCGUCUUGUCCUGCUGCGAUGCCUUCAGAGCUUCUUCCAACAGGGCUCUCUCGUUAUUGUAUUUGGCCGUCAACCGCUCGUGCUCCUUGAUUAGCGACGUCUCCGAUGCCUCUAUAUCCUGCUCUUCCUCUGGAUCAUCGUCCAGAGCGUGUUUCCUGUGAACAGGUGUCGUCGUGCAAUCCGUCCGUUUCGUACAUCAAGGAGGCUGGCGUCAGACCAUACUUCUGCUCGAUCAUGUUCAGAGCCUGCAACUGCAGUUCCAAAUUCUUCUGUAUCAUCAUCCUCUUGAAUAUCUCGUACUCGUUCGCAGCCCAUAUCUGCUCGAACAGGUUCUAGAAAAUAUAACAAAAGAGUCACUACGGGACGACAAGUUUCGCAUGUUUAUUAGUUUAUUGCUCUCGUAUGCCGAAAGAAAUAUACCGCCUUUCUCCAAGAAUUGUUAUGUAAAGCGAGCGAAAGUUGGAGCGAAAUGUUGUUCUACAAUAAGCGAAAAGCAAAGAGCUAUCCGCGCGGCGACUCUUCGACCGUUGCGUAAGAAAAUUC